GCUUUGAGUAGCCAAUACUCAUAAAAAAGGGUGAGUUUUGUCUACUUUCAAUGUUUUUGUGCUAAAUUAACAAUUUUCUUCGUUUUUUGUUUUGUGUGCUAAUUAAGGUUUUCUACAAAAACUGUUUCAGCUUUGAUUGAGAUCGAUGAAGAAGAAGUUUUGGGCUUGUGGAUGUCUAGCUUACACUUGUGGAUGUAGCGCUACUAUGCCGCCUCCUCCCAUAUAUUUUGUUUAGAGAAAACAAAACUGGAAUUGGUUUUUUUCGUUGUGCAAAUCUUCGAUCCUUCGGUAUCUUCUUCUACUUAGGAGGGCCUUAACCGGAUCAGAGU
rnacentral:lncRNA from 1 species